rnacentral:lncRNA from 1 species
GUGUUAUCAUUUGCUAAAGAUAUGACAAUGUGCUCUUUGCUUGGGUUUGCAGCUAGGAGACCUAGGUGUGUUUUCCCACUUCCCCCAGGAACGCAGCCAGAAAAAGCAAUGACAUCCAGGAGCCAUCUGGGAAUGCUUCCCAGACCUGCUCUAAAUUGGGGCACAGAGCCAGCUGCACACUCCUGAGCUCUGAGCUUUGGAGUUCACCUGGAUUAGACUCACUGCAGAGGGCUUUAUCAUCAAGGAUGAUUUAUCUGGGGUCCCAGCUCUCCAGCUUUUGGAGAGGGCUAGCAGAAACCACUCCACAGAAGAGCCACGCGUUAUUAUGAUUUUAGGCUCCUGGGCUUGGAUACUUUUUUUUAAGGUCUCACACUAUGAAAAGCCAAUUAUGCCUGUUAUAGAUGGCCAAAGAGAAGAAAUCAAUUGAAGAACAACUCACACUCUGUGUUACAAGAAUAAAAUGCAUUAUUGGUCCUCAGUUUUUUGCCAAAUCAAGAAAUCCAGAAGUAAUUCGAAGUCAGGGCAAAAAUAUAAAUGUUCUCUACUUUUGCCAGGACUAAGCAAUUAACUAAAUUGAAUGUGUAUAUUUCCUCCCAUUAUCCUCACCACAACCCUAUAAUGUUAUUGCCAA